ACUCAAAGGAAUUGACGGGGGCCCGCACAAGCGGUGGAACAUGUGGUUCAAUUCGACGCAACGCGAAGAACCUUACCUGGGCUCGAAGUGCCGGUGACCAGCGGUGGAAACAUCGCCUUCCCGCAAGGGACACCGGUAGAGGUGCUGCAUGGCUGUCGUCAGCUCGUGCCGUGAGGUGUUGGGUUAAGUCCCGCAACGAGCGCAACCCUUACUCUUAGUUGCCACCCGCAAGGGGGAACUCUAAGAGGACUGCUCCGGAUAACGGAGAGGAAGGUGGGGAUGACGUCAAGUCAGCAUGGCCUUUAUGUCCAGGGCUACACACGUGUUACAAUGCGCGCUACAAAGUGUCGCUAACCCGCGAGGGGGAGCUAAUCGCAAAAAAGCGCGCUCAGUUCGGAUUGCAGUCUGCAACUCGACUGCAUGAAGCCGGAAUCGCUAGUAAUGGCGUAUCAGAACGACGCCGUGAAUACGUUCCCGGGCCUUGUACACACCGCCCGU
rnacentral:rRNA from 1 species